rnacentral:rRNA from 1 species
AACGAACGCUGGCGGCAUGCCUAACACAUGCAAGUCGAACGAGACCUUCGGGUCUAGUGGCGCACGGGUGCGUAACGCGUGGGAACCUGCCUUUAGGUUCGGAAUAACUCAGAGAGAUUUGAGCUAACACCAGAUGAUGUCUUCGGACCAAAGAUUUAUCGCCUUUAGAUGGGCCCGCGUUGGAUUAGCUAGUUGGUGGGGUAAAGGCCUACCAAGGCGACGAUCCAUAGCUGGUCUGAGAGGAUGAUCAGCCACACUGGGACUGAGACACGGCCCAGACUCCUACGGGAGGCAGCAGUGGGGAAUAUUGGACAAUGGGCGAAAGCCUGAUCCAGCAAUGCCGCGUGAGUGAUGAAGGCCUUAGGGUUGUAAAGCUCUUUUACCCGAGAUGAUAAUGACAGUAUCGGGAGAAUAAGCGCCGGCUAACUCCGUG